GACGAACGCUGGCGGCGUGCCUAACACAUGCAAGUUGAGCGACGAACCAGGGCUUGCCCUGGGGCAAAGCAGCGAACGGGUGAGUAACACGUGGGUAACCUACCCCGAUAACCGGGACAACCCGAGGAAACUCGGGCUAAUACCGGAUGUGCUCACUGGACUUCGGUUCAGUGCGUAAAGGAAGCUUCGGCCUCCGUAUCGGGAGGGGACCGCGGCCCAUUAGUUUGUUGGUGAGGUAACGGCUCACCAAGACCGCGAUGGGUAGCUGGUCUGAGAGGACGAUCAGCCACACUGGGACUGAGACACGGCCCAGACUCCUACGGGAGGCAGCAGUGGGGAAUCUUGCGCAAUGCGCGAAAGCGUGACGCAGCAACGCCGCGUGGGGGAAGAAGGCCUUCGGGUUGUAAACCCCUUUCAGGAGGGACGAAGGUUCGGCGGUGAAUAGCCGUCCGGACUGACGGUACCUCCACAAGAAGCCCCGGCUAACUACGUG
rnacentral:rRNA from 1 species